GAACUUAAGCAUAUCAAUAAGCGGAGGAAAAGAAACUAACAAGGAUUCCCCUAGUAACUGCGAGUGAAGCGGGAAAAGCUCAAAUUUAAAAUCUGGCGUGCCUCUGGUCGUCCGAGCUGUAGUUUAGAGAAGCGUUUUCUGUGUUGGACCGUGUAUAAGUCUCUUGGAACAGGGCGUCAUAGAGGGUGAGAAUCCCGUCUUUGACACGGACUACCAAUGCUUUGUGAUACGCUCUCAAAGAGUCGAGUUGUUUGGGAAUGCAGCUCAAAAUGGGUGGUAAAUUCCAUCUAAAGCUAAAUAUAGGCGAGAGACCGAUAGCGAACAAGUACCGUGAGGGAAAGAUGAAAAGCACUUUGGAAAGAGAGUUAAACAGUACGUGAAAUUGCUGAAAGGGAAACGCUUGAAGUCAGUCACGUCUGCCAGGACUCAGCCUUGCUUCUGCUUGGUGUACUUUCUGGUUGGAUGGGCCAACAUCGAUUUCGACCGUUGGAGAAAGGCUUUGGGAAUGUGGCACCUUCGGGUGUGUUAUAGCCCUUUGUCGUAUACAACGGUUGGGAUCGAGGACUGCAGCAUGCCUUCAUGGCCGGGGUUCGCCCACGUACAUGCUUAGGAUGUUGGCAUAAUGGCUUUAAGCGACCCGUCUUGAAACACGGACCAAGGAGUCUAACAUGCCUGCGAGUGUUUGGGUGGAAAACCCAUGCGCGUAAUGAAAGUGAUAGCUGAGAUCCUCUCAUCAGGAGCAUCAGCGCCUGGACUUGAUCUACGGAGACGGUUCUACGGUAGAGCAUGUAUGUUGGGACCCGAAA
rnacentral:rRNA from 1 species